UUUGAACAGUACAGUUGGACUAUAAGGUGUUUACCAUCAGCAGUGACUGCAGCUCCAUCUGUCAGUGUCAGUUCAUCUCAGCAGACAGGAAGUAGAUCUCAAGAUGAACAGCAGGAAGCCUGAAGGAGCUGCUGUGUAUUCUGGUGCUUGUGAGACUGUGAUUAAAGAUGGACGAACAACUGAUCCUGCAGCUGUCAGUGGAGUUCACAGCACGUCAGUUUCAACAUCAACCAUGUUUUCUGUAGCUCUGCUGCUGCUGUUGGCAGCUGGAUGUGUGAAGUGUGAACAGCUGACACAGCCAGCCUCUGUGACUGUGCAGCCAGGUCAACGUCUGACCAUCACCUGUCAGGUCUCUUAUUCUGUUAGCAGCUACUGGACAGCUUGGAUCAGACAGCCUGCAGGGAAAGGACUGGAGUGGAUUGGAAGCAAAUACACUGGUGAUUCAGCCUACAAAGAUUCACUAAAGAACAAGUUCAGUAUCGACUUAGACUCUUCCAGCAGCACAGUGACUCUAAACGGACAGAAUGUGCAGCCUGAAGACACUGCUGUGUAUUACUGUGCCAGAGAGCCACAAUAACACAAACCAUCAUUA